GGACGAAGUUCUCGGGCAGAGAACAAGUGCGCUCCUGUCGUACGAAGUACGUGAAGCGGCAGAGGCCAAAAAACACGCCGAGCCCUUGGGGAUGGGGUUUGAUUUUAAAGUUGCUGCCGUAUCGCCCCGACUUCGCAGUUUAGCAGUGCCCAGUAAGAUAGAAGAGGACCUGCCUUGCAGCCAGCUAGACUGUCAGUUUUUAUUGGAGACAUUGUCAUGACGGCCAUCAGAAGGGUUCCUAUUCGUCCAAAGUGAAAACUAAGCACAGUUCUCAAAAUGCGCGAAAUAGGGAAGAUGAAUUCAAUAUUAAGUUAUGUAUUUACAAACAUAUUUAAGCCCAUUUUGCAGCGGCCAAAAUACGGGAGCAAGGCACCAACAGCACCAUUAAGGCAGUGUAGGUGGACUUAAUGGUGGUGGUGUAUUAUUCUUGUUUCUCAAAUCAUAGGAGAUGACAUUUGUUCUGUGACAUUCUCAAACUAAAUGUAAAGUGGUUGGAGCGAGGUGAGUGACUUGGGAGUUAAUCUGUGUGAGAUUUUGGCUUAACACAUGUUCUGCCAAAAUGGGCAGGUCGUCUCAGAUGAGGGAGGGAACUUCAGAUUAGCACCCACAGAAAGGAGGCUUUCACCCAGCUUCCUGCAUGGAUUUAGUUACCACUUUGUUUUCAUGUGGUCUGGACUGUAAGGAGGGCAGGAGGCUUAGCAGUGCUAUAGUGUAGAAUGCGGUGUGUUGCCAGGCAUACAACACUAAAAAGGCUCUAGCUUUGAUUUUGUAAUUUGUAUUUCCCCUGGGCAAAAUGAUGCCUAAACUGUUUGUUAUUGCUAUGAGGCUAUACCAAGUCGGUUCCACAGGCCUUUCAUGAAAACACCCCCAGGAGUCCCUUCUAGGCUUGCGAAGGCCUGGUCACUAUUAAGGGUCUGAAAAAAUAGUCAUUCUGUCAAAGACAAUAUUUUGUGUUUUUCAGUAACUUCUUUUUGAUACAUACUGGUUUGUCUGUGUUUUGUGGUUGAUUGUAUGAAGUUUCACAUGCUAGAAAUACUCUGCAACUAAGAGCUGAAGAAUGUUUAGUGUGAAGAAAUAACUUACUUGGCAUGAUGGCUCACUCCUGUAAUCCCAACACUUUGAGAGGCUGAGGCAGGAGGAUUGCUGGAGGCCAGGAGUUUGAGACGCCAUCUUUACCAAAAAAAUAAAAAUAAAAAAAUAAGGUAUUUAAGUAGUUGGGCAUGGUGGUGUGGUAGCGCACGCCUGUGGUCCCAACUACUUGGGAGGCUGCAGCAGGAGGAGCGCUGGAGCCAGAGAGGUAGAGGCUGCAGUGAGCUAUGAUCACACUGCUGUGCUCCAGCCCGGGCAACAGAGCAAGACCCUGUCUCAAAAAAAAAAAAAAUUAAUUUUGAUGUUAAAUGAAAAAGUAAAACAAAUGCAGUAUGCGUGUAUACGUGUAGUAUAUAUGAAAAUGCAUGUACUCCCAGUUGCACACCCACUGAACAAUUCGAAAAAAAUGCAGUUUGUUGUGUUGUUCAGAAUAGUGGGAUUCUACUGCUUUUCCUUGUCUUUAAACUGUUUUAAGUGUUCUGUAUUGUUACAACGUUCUCGAGUAUUCCAAUGGCUGUUACUUUUAUAAUUAUAAAAGAAUAAGCAUUUUUAAAGAACAGAUAUAUCUUAUUUCAAAAACAAGGGUUUUUCGUUUACCAGAAUAGCUGCAAGAAAAGUUACAUUGAGUUUCUUUGGUGUUUUGAGGAAAGAAUUGAACAUUUUUGCCUUCAGUGGUGCCUUUUUCACCACUAGGACUUCCUUUUCUUCACACAUUCCCCCUAAUCCAGCGGUCCCCCACCUUUUUGGCACCGUGGAUGAGUUUCGUGGAAGACAGUUUUUUUCCACAGAUGGGGAAGGGGAGAUGGGGGAUGGUUUCGGGGUGAAACUGUUCCACCUCAGAUCAUCAGGCAUUAGUUAGCUUCUCAUGAGGUGUGUGCAGCCUAGAUCCCUCACAUGCACAGUUCACGAUAGGGUUUGUCCUCUGAUGAGAAUCUAGUGUCGCUGCUGAUCUGACAGCCACAUCUAACUUGGGAAGGUGGGAGAUGAGGUUCUCUUGCGGAGUGACUAUACAUCCAACUAAUACUUGGAUAUUUGGCAGUUCUAAUAAUAAAACAAGAAUGUUCUUUGGACAACUGUGUCACAAUCUACUCCUCUGGCCCCUCAAAUAUCCAUGGAUACCCUUGUGACACAUAGAACACACCCUGUUUGAAGAGAGAAAACCCAGCAUUCUAAGCAGUUACUGCAUCCAGCUCAGCGUCCAUGAUCUAAAGAUGUAACAGUCCCUUACAAGUCUGAUACAACUCCUCAUGGUCCAAUGACCUACAGAGUAAAUUAUGUUAUUUAUUCCCCUUUCCCUUCCCCACACAGCCAGUAUGCAGUGGUGAAGUAGGACACGAAAACUAAUUUGGAAGAAGAGUGAGGAGAAAAUAGUAGUUCUUUGUCUAAGCAAAUGUGAAGAGCAGAUUAGACUACAAAGGUAAUGAAGUAAAUUCUUGGUUAGACCCCAGUUCUGUUUUCCAGGAGGAACUCUGGUUUGUUGCAUCCGAAGGUACUGUCUUUACCCAUUGGGAGGUUCUUACCCAUGAUCUAUGAUUCCAUCUGAAGGGCAUGCUAAAGAGUGUGCUCCAUGAGAGGCUACACAUCUUUUUAUAUCCAGUUUCUUACUGGUGCGCUUUUGAGGGACUGUGGGUUACUUUAGUAGGGUCAGAUAGACACAGGCAUUGGCAAGCUAGGCUUAAUAGCUUCUUUGUCAAGUCAAUUUUUAAAAGAUACUGAAUGGAUUUCUUAUUUAUUUGUUCCUUGUAUAGUUCCUUUUACAAAUAACCACAGAUAGAGAUGUCAAUUAGUCAUAUUUCUUAUGCCUAACUACUCUUCAUUUUUAUUUACGAGACUCUCUCAUAUCUCCUGUACCUACUAACUUAGUGGCUAUAUGCUUGCACCCAGCAAAAACAGCAGUCAUGGUUAGGAAGGCAGUGCCCUUAAUAUGACCUCUAUUGCUUGUCUGGGUUCCACUGUCCAGCAGAGAACACUUUGCUGAUGGCCUUUGAGAAGUGCCUUGGGUCACAGUUUUAUCUUACACUGUCAGAAAUGUAAUAGCUCUUGGCUUUAUCAGAACUAGAAGGCUUGAAAUCACCACUCAGUCAAUUUGUAUUGCAGACUACAGGCAGAGAACUCCAUCUUAGUAUGACUUUAUUUCCUUCCAGCUCUGUUAACAAAAUGACUAGUUUUUACCUGAGUUCAUCUUUCUCAAAGUACUUUGCUAAAGAGACAGGAAGAAGUCAGUACUGUCUCACUGACCCAGAGAUUCAUUCCCAGCCAUUUUUCCUGCUACUACAGAUUCAAAGAGCAGGUAGUCUGCCUGCUAAGGUACUGAGUUGACAAUUUUAUCAAAUGUCUUGUGGCGGGGGGGGGAAAAAAAAGGAGGGGCUUGGUCACCAGCUUUUCAGCUAUGAUACCUGUGCUGCCUGUCAGUUAAUUAAUACCACAUAAUUUAGGUUAAUGUCAUGGUCUCUAGAGAAAAUCUGGAGCUAAUACUGGUUUAGCAACAUUGCAGCUACAAAAUCUAUAUGCAAAAAUCGUAUUUCUAUAAGACAAAAUAAUGUAAAUCAAAAUUUUAAAAAUACUAUUUAUUAACAUCAAAAAUAUUUAAAAUUUGUAUCUGACUGAAGAUAUGUUAGACCUGCACAUCAAAACCGCAAAACAUUGCUAAGAGAAAUGUAAAAGACCUAAAUAAAUGUGGAGCUAUACCA
rnacentral:antisense_RNA from 1 species